GCCUGGGUGGCUCAGCUGGUUAAGCGUCCAACUUCGGCUCAGGUCACGAUCUCGUGGUCUGUGAGUUCGAGUCCCGCCUCAGGCU
rfam:Felis catus isolate Cinnamon breed Abyssinian chromosome B2, whole genome shotgun sequence.